CGCAACAAAGUUUCUCACGGUCGCCGGUAGCGCGGAGAGAGAGUUUGAACUAGUGAAAGAAACAACAAACGUAAAGGAGCCAAUGGCUGGUUUUGGACUCUUCAGACACGCUUUAACGGACUUCUUCUUUGUUCUUUUAAUGGUUCCUAGUAUCAGCAGAAUUGGAUAAACCGGCUUCUUCAAAUUUAUCUCGACUAAAGUCUAAGUUUGUUAGAAAGAAAGGCCUUUGGCCUACGGAUUGAGCUUACUCUAGUGGAUUUACCCACCCAAGUUUAUACAGAUGGUGGUGGAGAAUAAUAGGGCUCACUCGCAUUCUCAGUAAAUAUGGGAUUCAACACCUCAUAUCACCCUCAUAUACAUCUGAGCAUGUGGGUUCUGCGGAAAUGAAACAUCGUCAUAUUGUUGAAACGGGCCUUUGUCUUCUCCACCAAGCACCCUUGCCCUAGCAUUUCUGGUCUUAUGCCUUUCAAACCGCCACCUAUCUCAUAAAUAGGAUGCCCAACUUUGUUCUUCAUUUUGAUACACCUUAUCACAAACUUUUCCAUCAUCAUCCGAGCUAUGGCAAUUUAAAAAUCUUUGAUUGCUUAUGCUAUCCUUGGCUACUACCCUACACCAAACACAAACUUGAACCUCGUUCACGGCCGUGUAUAUUUCUUGGGUACUCUCUUCCCAAUCAUGUUUACUGCUGUUAUGAUCCAUCCAAUAGUCAAGUCUUUGUUUCUCGGCAUGUUGUCUUUGCAGAAAGCAUCUUUCCCUUUCAACACAAUUCAUCUACCGUACUCACUAAGUCAUCUCCCCAUCUCCAUAAAUUCUUUUCACACUAUCAUGAGUCAAAUCCCAUCACACCUAUCACCAAUGUGUCCCAUGAUGCCUCUCCUGUUCUAGUUACUCCCAACAUCAUCUCCUCCUCUAAUUCUGGUCAGCCACUGCCCAAUCCCCCUCUAGCUUCUCUAUCUCGUGAUUCGUCACUUUCUACAGAUCAUACUACUCAUCACCAGCGUCAAGAUGCUCCCAGCUUGGCACCUCCACAGGUAAGUCCUUCUCCAACCUUUUAACACUUCACCCACACACAAACCAAAGCAUCCUGAACUCAUCUCCUCAACCCAUCUUGAACUCAUCUCCCUUACCCACCAUCCUUCUCCGCCACGCAUGGUCACUCGAGCCCAGAACAAUAUUUACAAACCAAAAAGGCCUCUCUCUCCAAACUUCACUCACUGCCCUCACUGCCCCCACUAGAGUCACUGAGUCCGAACCUUCCACUUUCAACCAAGUUGUCAAAUCCCAAUGUUGGCGCCAUGCCAUGUCCGAUGAAUUUCAAGCCCUUAUCCGAAAUAAGACUUGGUCUGUCGUUCCAUCUACACACACAAAAAAUAUUGUUGGCUGUAAAUGGGUUUACAAAAUCGAGAAGAAUCCCGAUGGAUCAAUUGCUCGUUACAAGGCUAGUCUUGUGACCAAGGGCUUUCAUCAACGUUCGGGCAUUGAUUUCCAUGAAACAUUUAGUCCAGUUGUUAAACCUACCACCAAACGUUUGGUUCUCAGUAUAGCGGUCUCUCAUGGUUGGGAUUUGAAGCAAUUAGAUGUUAACAAUGCAUUUUUGCAGGGAACUCUUACUGAUGAUGUUUAUAUGCAGCAACUACAAGGCUUUAUUAGUUCUUAGUUUCGUCAUCAUGUUUGUAAAUUGCACAAGGCUAUCUAUGGCCUCAAACAGGCACCCCAUCCUUGGUAUACUGAACUACAAACAUUCUUGCUUGCCAAUGGGUUCACAAAUUCGAAGUGUGAUGCAUCCCUCUUCAUUUGCCGUGCGUCCACCUAUAUUCUAUAUGUACUGGUUUAUGUGGAUGAUAUCAUCCUCAUAGGCACUAGUCCAUAAGCAAUUUAGGUUGUUAUUCAGCUCCUUUCCAAUCGGUUUUCUCUCAAAGACCUUGGAGACCUUCAUUAUUUCUUGGGCAUUGAAGCACAAUGAACUCCUCACGAUUUGCUCCUUACUCAACAAAAGUACACUUGAAUCUUCUUGUUAAAGCUAACAUGCACCAAGCUAAAGAGGUAUCUACUCCUAUGUCAUCAUCUGAGUCAUUACUCUUGAUUAAUGGGUCUCCUUCUCAUGACCUUACGCAAUACUAUCGAGUUCUUGGUUCCCUUUAGUAUCUAUUCCUUACUCGCCUAGAUAUCUCAUUUGCAGUUAAUAAAUUGGCACGGUUCAUGCAUUAACCUACUACUCAGCAUUGGCUUGCUGUCAAACGAGUCCUUCGCUACUUGAAAGGUACGUCUCAUUAUGGCCUGUUUAUCUCCAAAGUCAAUUCCAUUGCUUUUCAAGCAUUUGCGGAUGUCGAUUGGGCCAGCGAUGUUGAGUCCUAUGCAUCUACUUCCGCCAAUGUUGUUUACUUUGGUACUCACCCGAUCAGUUGGAGCUCAAAAAAAAAACUACUGUUGCUCGAUCCUCCACGGAAGCUGAAUAUCGGGCCAUAGCCUCUGCCAAAGCUGAGUUAAACUAGCUCACUCAUUUGCUCACUGAACUUGGCCUCACCUUGCUCAAGCCACCUAUAGUUUAUUGUGAAAAUGUUGGUGCUACUUAUAUGUGCUCCAAUCUUGUGUUUCACUCUCGUAUGAAGCACAUAGCACUUGAUUUCCAUUUCGUAUGUGACCAAGUGGCCGAACGUACUCUUCGGGUUUCUCAUGUGCAUUAUGUGGAUCAACUUGCUGACUCCCUCACCAAGCCACUUGCUCGCAAGCUCUUCAUUGAUCAUCGGUUCAAGCUUUGAGUCUUACCUAGACACCUACGCUUGCGGGAGAAUGAUAGAGAUAAUUCUGGUACUGAAAGAGGAGCUAAUUCCGGUGCAACAAUCACAACAUGAUAUGGUUAUAUUUUGAUUUAUUCUAUGUAAUAUUCAUUUGUAAUUAUCCCAUUAUUACCGUGAUUCAUUUUCCAUGUUUGUUAAGAAACUCGUCACACGUGCAUGUAUAUAUGAUUGAUUCAUAUAGUCAA